rnacentral:rRNA from 1 species
UUUCGAAUCAUUCACAAUGGGCGAAAGCCUGAUGGUGCAACGCCGCGUGGGGGAUGAAGGCCUUCGGGUCGUAAACCUCUGUCACCAAGGAACAACAACCAGGUUCAUAGCCUGGCCUGAGUUUACUUGGAGAGGAAGCAGUGGCUAACUCCGUGCCAGCAGCCGCGGUAAUACGGAGACUGCGAGCGUUACUCGGAAUCACUGGGCGUAAAGGGUGCGUAGGCGGCCAGGUAUGUCAGAUGUGAAAUUUCAAGGCUUAACCUUGAAGCUGCAUUUGAAACUACCUGGCUAGAGGCUUGGAGAGGUAAGCGGAAUUCCAGGUGUAGUGGUGAAAUACGUAGAUAUCUGGAAGAACACCCAUGGCGAAGGCAGCUUACUGGACAAGUACUGACGCUGAGGUACGAAAGCGUGGGGAGCGAAAGGGAUUAGAUACCCCCGUAGUCC